CUCGCUCUCAAAAGGGGAAGAUCAGUUUCGAGGGUUAAAAGGCUCCAUACUUCGGCGAUUUCUUGGACUCUCCAACCGCCUCCUUCAAAUUCGAAACUCCUCUAAGAACCCUAUAAAGAGUUUUCCAAGCUUUCCCCCUCUUCAUCUUCUUUGAUUUCAUCGAUCCCACUCAAGGAAACUAGGGUUUCAAACACCGUUUCUCGAGCUCGAACUUCUUGUUGCAAUUUUUCAUCACUGAAGCUUGUUCCUCCUUUGAUCCCAGGAACUUGAGAUUGCUCUCUUCUUUGCUCAAGGUUCUCGUGCUUAACCCACCUUCGAGCUCUCUCUUUUUAAUUUCAGAUUAGCUAUGUUGACGAGGAGAUCACGUAUCCCGAGGGGUCGCUCAGUCGCUGAAUCACCUGAGAGGGAGCCCCUGUCUUUCACAGGGACUAUUAUCGAGGCUCGGUCAUCGGUUCCUGAGACACAACUCUGCAUCCCUUCAGAAUAGCUGACUGUAGUGACUGUCGCAACCGUGGGUGCGAGCUUUACUAAACAAGACGUGAGACCAACUAAAUAAGUUGGUGCGUCAACGACUGUUACACUAUAGUACUUUCAUCAGUUCAUGAGGUUGGGCAGGCGGAAUCGAGUGCGGGGCGUUCAGCUGAAGAAAGCUCUGCAGGCGUUGGGUUCUCAUCUCAUAUUCACAAUGUUGUUAAGGCGCUACUGUCGGACGAUGACCCAGAUCAAACCCUGCUCUGCAUGGAGAUCAGUUCCCUCUUUUUCUUUAUGAGCAUGAUAAUCGAUAAGAUCCUUCUCAAGGGGCUUUCCUUCCAUCAAUUCAGACCAGCGUUGGCUACCAAAGUAAAUGCAAUAGAGAGUGUGGGAUCUCCAGACCUAGAGAAAGCUAUAGUUGAUGAU